rnacentral:misc_RNA from 1 species
GCUGUCACUGCACUUCUUAACCUUUCCAUAUGUGAAGAUAACAAAGGAAACAUCAUGUCAUCUGGGGCAGUUCCUGGUAUAGUGCGUGUGCUCAAGAAGGGCAGCAUGGAAGCUCGGGAAAAUGCAGCAGCUACCCUUUUCAGUCUUUCAGUUGUGGAUGAAAAUAAAGUUAUAAUAGGUUCUUCAGGGGCCAUCCCACCACUUGCGACACUUCUAAGUGAGGGUACACAAAGGGGG